rnacentral:lncRNA from 1 species
CACAGCUACUUUUGCAUAGGUACUAUUUAUGUACUACAAAUCUGUAGUACUGGAAAUCUACUUUUAAUAUUCAGUACUAUUGUGUUGCUUACGAAUUAUUGUAAUAUUUAAGAACCUGUAUUUUACAGUACUUGAUUUGUACUUGAAAUUUAAGUACUUCAGAUUUUUGGUUGCACGGUUACAUUUUCAGCAUUUUGAAUGUUUGUCUUUUUCAAAUCUCAUGAAGUUAUGAUGUUCAAACAUGGAAUACUGUGAUCAUUGUUGGUAU